UACGUAGGGACCGAGCGUUGUCCGGAAUCAUUGGGCGUAAAGAGCGUGUAGGCGGCCACUUAAGUCCUGCGUGAAAUCUUGCGGCUCAACCGCAAGCGGUCGUGGGAAACUGGGUGGCUAGAGUGCGGGAGAGGAGAGUGGAAUUCCUGGUGUAGCGGUGGAAUGCGCAGAUAUCAGGAAGAACACCCGUGGCGAAAGCGACUCUCUGGACGGCAACUGACGCUGAGGCACGAAAGCGUGGGGAGCAAACAGG
rnacentral:rRNA from 1 species